UACCUCCCAAGUAAGCUAAAACGCUUUAUGAGACAGCCUGCUUUCUUGUCCAUCAUUUUAUAUGUUUUUUCCCUCUUAUUUUUUAUGCUGCCACCGAUUCCUACCAUACCUGAAUUCUCUGAUUAAUUGGUAGUCGGUAAGGCCAAUUGCUUACUCAACUCUAUGUUAGUUUUCUGCUGUUGCAUUUGGUAGUUCAAUAAUGCUAGGAUAGGACACAAUAAUAGGAUUGUAACGAACCACCUUUUUACUGCCUUUGUGCAAUCAGACUUUAUAUGAUACACAUCCAAUGCAUGAUUGUUCAUGUAAAAUUAGAUUGAGUCAUCAAUUUAGUUAUUGAACUUUAGGUAUCCGGAAAUUUGGUCUCUCAAAUUGACAAAAUUCCAAAAUAAUCUCUAACAAUAGUGUUUUUUUUGGAAACAAACUACUUAGUAGAUCCUAAAAUUGUCUCAGAAGGACUAAUUACCAUCGAUAUUUUUCAAUUUAAGAUAUCAAUUUUCAAUUUGGUAAAUUUUACAGACCAAAAUCUACAAUUUUAAGGUUAAAUUGGCAAUUCACUCCUUAAAAUUAUCUUGUAAGCUCAAAGUAUAAAUCUUUACAAAUAGAAUUUGAUUUAUGUUCUUUGCAUAUGAGUCAAUGAUGUGUUCUAGACUUGUCGUAUAUUUGUUCAAGUAAUGGUCUGCUUAUACACACAAUUAGAACAUUUCUCGUGAAGUCUAUGUAUUGCACUUUAGGUCUCCUUGUGACUUGUGAGUUUCUCUUUAGGGGUCCAUAAUUUAAACUUACCCAAAUAAUAUGAGCAACUAUCUUUUACAAUCCUUGUCUCAAAAGAAUAUUAUCGCUGUUUCUUAUCCACAAGCUUUAAUUAUGCCAUUUACAACUUUUGAGCUAUAGCUUAGGAUAUGAGUACAUAUAAUUGGCAUAAAGGUAGGAUCU
rnacentral:lncRNA from 1 species